CCUACGGGGGGCAGCAGUGGGGAAUAUUGGACAAUGGGGGCAACCCUGAUCCAGCCAUGCCGCGUGUGUGAAGAAGGCCUUCGGGUUGUAAAGCACUUUCAGUGAGGAAGAACGCCUGGUGGUUAAUACCCAUCAGGAAAGACAUCACUCACAGAAGAAGCACCGGCUAACUCCGUGCCAGCAGCCGCGGUAAUACGGAGGGUGCGAGCGUUAAUCGGAAUUACUGGGCGUAAAGCGCGCGUAGGUGGCUUGAUAAGCCGGUUGUGAAAGCCCCGGGCUCAACCUGGGAACGGCAUCCGGAACUGUCAAGCUAGAGUGCAGGAGAGGAAGGUAGAAUUCCCGGUGUAGCGGUGAAAUGCGUAGAGAUCGGGAGGAAUACCAGUGGUGAAGGCGGCCUUCUGGACUGACACUGACACUGAGGUGCGAAAGCGUGGGUAGCAAACAGGAUUAGAUACCCGUGUAGUC
rnacentral:rRNA from 1 species